rnacentral:rRNA from 1 species
UGAGGUAGCAAUAUCUCUAGUAAAGUGGCGCACGGGUGAGUAACACGUAGGCAAUCUGCCUUUAGGACGGGAAUAAUUCAGCGAAAGCUGGACUAAUACCCGAUAAUGCAGCGGCACCGCAUGGUGACAGUUGUUAAAUCCCGCAAGGGGCCUAUUGAUGAGCCUGCGUCUGAUUAGCUAGUUGGCGGAGUAACAGCCCACCAAGGCGACGAUCAGUAGCUGGUCUGAGAGGAUGAUCAGCCACACUGGAACUGAGACACGGUCCAGACUCCUACGGGAGGCAGCAGUGAGGAAUAUUGCGCAAUGGCCGAAAGGCUGACGCAGCGACGCCGCGUGAAGGAUGAAAUCCGUUAGGAUGUAAACUUCUUUUGCUGGGGAUGAAUUUUCCGCUUCGGCGGGAGUUGACCGUACCCAGCGAAUAAGGAUCGGCUAACUACGUGCCAGCAGCCGCGGUAAUACGUAGGAUCCGAGCGUUGUCCGGAAUUACUGGGUGUAAAGGGCGUGUAGGUGGGCCUUUAAGUCGGUGGUGAAAUCUUGCAGCUCAACUGCAAAACUGCUUCCGAUACUGGAGGUCUUGAGUGCGGCAGAGGGAGAUAGAAUUCAUGGUGUAGCGGUGAAAUGUGUAGAUAUCAUGAAGAAUACCGGUAGCGAAGGCGGUCUCCUGGUCCGUAACUGACACUGAG